UACGGAGGGGGCUAGCGUUGUUCGGAAUCACUGGGCGUAAAGGGUGCGUAGGCGGGUCUUUUAAGUCAGGGGUGAAAUCCUGGAGCUCAACUCCAGAACUGCCUUUGAUACUGAAGAUCUUGAGUUCGGGAGAGGUGAGUGGAACUGCGAGUGUAGAGGUGAAAUUCGUAGAUAUUCGCAAGAACACCAGUGGCGAAGGCGGCUCACUGGCCCGAUACUGACGCUGAGGCACGAAAGCGUGGGGAGCAAACAGG
rnacentral:rRNA from 1 species